UACGUAGGUGGCAAGCGUUGUCCGGAAUUACUGGGUGUAAAGGGAGCGCAGGCGGGUGAUCAAGUCAGCUGUGAAAACUACGGGCUUAACCCGUAGACUGCAGUUGAAACUGUUCAUCUUGAGUGAAGCAGAGGUUGGCGGAAUUCCGAGUGUAGCGGUGAAAUGCGUAGAUAUUCGGAGGAACACCGGUGGCGAAGGCGGCCAACUGGGCUUUAACUGACGCUGAGGCUCGAAAGUGUGGGGAGCAAACAGG
rnacentral:rRNA from 1 species